GAUGAACGCUGGCGGCGUGCCUCAUACAUGCAAGUCGAGCGGAGCGUGGAGGGGUGAGACAAACGUGGAUGACAUCCUAUAAGACGGGGGUAACUUCGGGGAAACGGAGCUAACCCGGAAUAUUUUAGCAGGUUCCACGCUGCAUGAGCUAGUUGGUAAGGUAACGGCUUACCAAGGCAACGAUGCAUAGCAGACCUGAGAGGGUGAUCGGCCACACUGGAACUGAGACACGGUCCAGACUCCUACGGGAGGCAGCAGUAGGGAAUCUUCCGCAAUGGGCGAAAGCCUGACGGAGCAACGCCGCGUGAGUGAUGAAGGUCUUCGGAUCGUAAAACUCUGUUAUUAGGGAAGCGGUACCUAAUCAGAAAGCCACGGCUAACUACGUGCCAGCAGCCGCGGUAAUAC
rnacentral:rRNA from 1 species